rnacentral:rRNA from 1 species
GAUGAAGGCUGGCGGCGUGCCUAAUACAUGCAAGUCGAGCGAACAGACGAGGAGCUUGCUCCUCUGACGUUAGCGACGGACGGGUGAGUAACACGUGGAUAACCCACCUAUAAGACUGGGAUAACUUCGGGAAACCGGAGCUAAUACCGGAUAGUAUAUUGAACCGCAUGGUUCAAUAGUGAAAGACGGUUUUGCUGUCACUUAUAGAUGGAUCCGCGCCGCAUUAGCUAGUUGGUAAGGUAACGGCUUACCAAGGCAACGAUGCGUAGCCGACCUGAGAGGGUGAUCGGCCACACUGGAACUGAGACACGGUCCAGACUCCUACGGGAGGCAGCAGUAGGGAAUCUUCCGCAAUGGGCGAAAGCCUGACGGAGCAACGCCGCGUGAGUGAUGAAGGUCUUCGGAUCGUAAAACUCUGUUAUUAGGGAAGAACAAAUGUGUAAGUAACUAUGCACGUCUUGACGGUACCUAAUCAGAAAGCCACGGCUAACUACGUG